rnacentral:misc_RNA from 1 species
UUAACUAUUAUAUAGUACUCGGACGACACUGUAAUACAGGGUUUGGGGUCUUUGGCGCGCCGCCUCGCGGCCGUCGGCCCCGGCCGGCGCGCGCGCGCCAAAGCAACAAGAGGCAAGGUAUACAAAGGGUGGGAGGUCUACCCCGAGGGGCAUGAACUCUGUAAUGAUCCUUCCGCAGGUUCACCUACGGAAA